CCCCGGUGCGGGCGUUGCCCGGCGGGGCUCUGGUGGCCUGCGCCAUCUUGAGCUGAAGCUGGCGGCCGUAGAGGUGCCCUCGGGGGCUGCUGGGCGAUCGCUGCCCGCCUGCGCCGGCAGCCGUGAAGCGUUAGGAUCAGAAUCAGCCCCUUCGUAGAGCGGGGCGGCCCUUUGUUGCGUUUAGUUGUCGAUUAAAUUAUCUAUUCUCACGCCGCCACAUAGAUCGACGGGAGAGAAGUAUUCUAAUACGAAGUUAGGGCGUCUGUGAAGAAUUCAGUGGCCCUUUUACUUCGUCAUAGGAUUGUGUGCUUCGUGAGUCACCAGAUGAACACUUUAACCGUUGAGGCUUGCUUUGUUGCUAGACAGUGAGAGCAGAAUAAAAGAAGCGUUAUGGAAAUGCAUAUUUUUUUAAAAUCUUUAGCCUGAGACGCUCCUUUCUCUGUGGGAAUGCUGCUGUCAUUGAGCAGUAGUUGUCCUGGAAAAGCAGGAAUUGUAAGCAAAAGAGGCUUAUCUGCAAGCAGCAAUUAGGAGGUGACUGUAUUCAUGUAAGAGGCAAUCACUCUGCCUUGAGAUGGCUCAUCUAAUGAUAUCCCAAGUCAGGUGUUAGGUUACUGAGCAGUGAAAUUCUUGUAUCUUUACUAGCUGUUAGUACAACCGUGGUUAUUGAGUGCAAUAAAUAUACUUGAAUUGCUUUCGUCUGAAACCAAGCCAAGAUAGUAGUCUAUCACGGACUGUGGCUUUUAUUUCAUCUACAUGGUGUAUAGUAAUAAACAUCUCUGUUGAAAGAAAUAAUGUAUUUGAAAUGUACCUAACAAAACAAAUAUUUUCUUUGCCUUGUGAACGAAUGUAACUUGUUACCUUGUUACAUAAGUGGCUGUAUUUCUUGCUGCCUUCUGAAAAAACUGCAAACUAAGGCUUGAGUACCUAACAUUUCAUUGCUUCUGUGACUUCAGAAAGUCUUAAUGAGUGUUAUCAGGGGACCUAUUACUAAGUAUCUGCUCGUUUCAAGUGGUAAGCUUGUCUGCUGUUUAUUUUUAGGUAUGAAGCAGAAACUUUCAGUGGUGUCCAAUAUGUUGUACAGAGGCAUUAAGCCCACCAUGGAAGCACCAUUGGAACUAGAAGAGUAUUUGGUACACACAAGUGGAUUUUCCUGAAAGCUGUGAUGGCAUAUGAACAGGUUUUAAUAAUGGAAAAGUUGAGCAUUGUGGUGAAAGAUGUCCUGGCAACUGUACUGCAACAGAUAGAGGGAUGCUUGAAGGCUGCUUCUUGAAGCAGGAAAACGGUCACAAUUGUAUGAGCAAAUGCUUCUAAUUUGUUCAGUGAGUUGGAACGUUUUUAUCAGUGCUGCUUGACAAAUGUGGAUCUGUAACUGGAAGAAAGUGUAACACCUGAAGAGAUGUUCUCGCUUGGAGUGGGACCAUGCUUUUAAAAUCCUGCUGAAACAGUUAUUGAAAUUGUUUAGCAGAUACUGUUAUCAAAAACUGCACGUGAACCAAAAUUACUGUCUCUGCAUAUUUAAAAUAACACUUUUUCCAAAACAUCAAACUGCCCUCUUUGGGAAGGAUAACAGUAGCAGUAGGGAAAUGAGAGGUGAGCUUCCAUAUAUGAAAAAGAAACAAACUAUUGGCCCUUACCUUAGGAAAUGUAUAGGUAUGCAGACUUUUUGAUACUGAGCAUCUGUAACAACUCAAAACAAUGGAAGUUGCAGGUAGGCCAUGCAGCAUUGAUACAUAAAUUCAAACUAAUGAGUGCUUCUUGAGGAGUUACGUAGGAGAUCAAAAGAAGUAGAUGAGGUGGUGUGGAAGUAUCAACAUGAAGCACUUGUAAAAAGAAAUACUUGAAAUUUCAGGUGGCAUGAGGGAAGUUGUGGUUACAGAAAAGGCAUGGACUGAAGCUUUCAUUUUCUUCUCCAUCUAGUCAGGGAGAGAAGGAAAGGGGAGUUUUCAUGAGCUGCCAAUUUAGCAUGAAAAGACCAGUAUCGGAACUGGAACUGUGCCCACUGAAGAAGACAUUGGCAGUGUUAUCUGUUUCCAGCGUGGGAGGAAAAGGAGUAUAAGCAUUGGAACAUUUGCUUGCAGCAAUCACUAACCACACAGUAACAUGUUAACAUUGUAUUUGUUGUAUUAAGCAGAUGAUCUCUCUUCCACCAAGGAAGAAAGGGAUUGUAAAUUGAUUAUCUGUGAAGUUGCCUUUAAAGACAAAUUAUGCACAGAAGAUGCAAUCCACCUUAAGGUGUAGCUCUUGUACUGCAUUCUCAGGAAUGCUUUAUAAAGGAGGGGAUGUGACAACUGUGUGGUAGCCAAUGAUCAGUAGUGCUGUGGUUACUGAAUGAUUUUGGAAUGUACCAAAAUACAGAAACAAUCCUGUCAUUUUUGGCUGCAGACUACAGCAUUGGGUGCUAGCAGUUUACUUCCUCUAGGAAUCUGAAAGAACUUCAUGAAAUACACUUAUUUCUAAACACCAAAUACCUGAAAGGCCCAUUUUCCUAUCAGUGCAGUACUAUGGUAGUGCAGAACAUUAAGUAGCAGCAUCUGAAGCAUUGGAAAGUCAGAAAUAAGUGUCUGACUACAAAAACGUACAUUAAUGAUGUGACAGAAAUCCAGAAGUGGCUUGGCUUACUGCAUAACCUGCUUUGGUUAUUCAGUAAGUAAUAACCAGCUGCUUUGGCUGGUUGGAGACUACUUCUCAGUGAGUUAGCUAUGUAAAUUGGUCUAUUGAAUGUAUCAUCAGAAGCUGCAGAAUUUUACUACAAAAAAAUAUCCCUUGAUGGCUUUCAUCAGGAUUCGUUAUCUAUUAAUGUUGGUGAGAAGGGUAGGUAUUUCUGUGCUGUGUAUGUACAUGCUCUUGAAUAAAGAUGAGGAUGUGGAAAACUUAA